GAUCCUGUACUUCAACUUCCGGUUUCUGCACUGUGCAACUAUUACAGUUGCAUUUUUAAUUAACGAUGCCAAGUACUUGUUGUUGUGUACCUGGAUGUCAUUUAAGAGGAGGACAUGCAUUUCCAAAUGACUUAAAAAGAAGGAAAAGUUGGAUCAACGCAAUGGCCCAUACGCAGAUUGGACGAGAACACGAUGAAAUCGUGGAGUCCAUCUCAAUCAGCUGUUGUUUGCAAGGCACAUUUUACUGAAAAAGACUACGUGCAGGAAACUAUUCAUGGGCACAAACCCACCAUACAGAGACUUAAGUCUACUGCCAAUCCCAGCCUAUUUUCCUGGACCAAGCAAGAGACUGAAUCGUCCGCAAAAAGAAAAAUCAGGGCAGUUUCCUGUGAAAACAAAAGAACUAAACUUGAUGAAUAUUGUAGUAGAAAUCUAGAGGAAAGUUUUGAUUGUAAAGUUGGUUUUCCUGAAUAAGUAAUUCAUACUGCAGACAGGAUUUAUGACUGUCCACCACCAACUGCCGAGCUAAUGUUGAGCUUCACAGAUGGAAUUAUGCAAACACCAUCAAUGCCUAUAUUUUCAGCAGAGAAUUUUGAAAUGAAGACACGUGACACAGCCAUGCAUUUUUAUACCGGUUUAGAGUUGUAGAGUUGUAUACUAAAUUUUUAUUUGUUUUGAUCACACUUGGUCCAACAGCUCAUUGUUUGAGAUGCAUAUAUUUUCAAAUUGAUAGGGUGUCAUUUGAAAAUCAGUUUUUUUAUGACUUUGAUGAAAUUGAUGCAUUAUACAACCAACUUUGAACUGUCUAGAUUCUAGAUUGAAACUAGUGUUAAGAAUAUUGUGUAAACAUGGAUUGUUUUUAUGUCUAAACAGUGGCGUGAGGCUAACACUUGGCCAUCUAGUGGUUAAGUCAGGUAUUUUUCGCCAUCCAACUUCAAAUUAAAGUUUCCUACAACUUGGAUUAUUAUUGACAGCACAGAAUAUCCCGUGAUAAAACCUAAAGCUCCUAGAGCUCAGGCAACCUUUUCAUCAUAUAAAAACAGAAACUUUGAAAAUACUUGUAUGUUCGACACCUGGUGGUUUAGUCAACUAUGUCUCUAAUGCAUAUGUUGGUUGUACCAGUGACUGUGAAAUAGUUGAAAGAUGUAGAAUAGUUCAAUUAUGUGAUCCAGGUGACAGUGUGAUGGCAGACAAAGGUUUAAAUGUGCAAGAUUUGUUUGCUCACUUUUUUCAAAAAAAAAAACAGAAUUAGUUCCAAAACUCUUAUACGGGAUAGAAAAGUCUCCAAUUAACACGUGCACAUAGAGCUAAUUAUUGGACUUGGCAAAACAUACAAAAUUCUAAUAAAUCCUAUGAAUGGAACUGAAACAAAACUUUCAUCUGAAAUAACAUUUAGUUGUUUUAUGUUGUGUAAUUUUAGAACUUGUAUUGUGCCAAAGGAUGCAUAAAUAAAAGUGACGCAAUGAA